AACGUAGGAGACAAACGUUAUCCGGAGUUACUGGGCGUAAAGGGCGCGUAGGCGGUUGGAUAAGUCUUGUGUGAAAUCUUCGGGCUCAACUCGAAGUCUGCACGAGAAACUAUCUGGCUUGAGUGUGGGAGAGGUGAGUGGAAUUCCUGGUGUAGCGGUGAAAUGCGUAGAUAUCAGGAGGAACACCUGUGGCGAAAGCGGCUCACUGGACCACAACUGACGCUGAGGCGCGAAAGCUAGGGGAGCAAACAGG
rnacentral:rRNA from 1 species